UUCGUGGUUUCACAUUAUAUAAGAACGUUUUUUUAUUUUCUCACACAAAUAUAUUUUGGUAAUUGUGAACUGUUAAAGAUGGCGUCAUCAUAACAACAAACAACAUCAUUGACGACAAGCGUUAACAACUUGACAUGGAUCACAAACAAGAAGUUGAGUUUAUUCCAAAUGGCAUCAUCGGACCUUGUGAUCGUUGCGGCAGGUCAUCUCCGGGACCCGAGUACCUUCUCUACUGCACUGACUGUCGUGAAUUGGUGCACAUUGAGUGCUUGCGUUCAAAGCCAGAAUGUCGUUUGGCUGGUGAUAAUUUUUACACUUUCACUUGUUUCAAAUGUCACAGUGGAAAAAAGGACACAGUGGCUCGGCCGAAAGAUCUUAGCAAACUCCAGGCCCUGCUCGUAGUGCUCUUCCAUCUCCACAAAACUGCAGCCGAGAGUUCACAUCAAGGCUUCUUCCAUGCUGAUGAUCAUAUUUCUCAGUUCAUUAUUAAUUACUGGAAUGACAUAUUUGGAUCAAACAAUAGUACAAAACAGGGGACAACAAACGAUGACUGGGGUAGCAUCUUUAGCGUGCAGGACAUCUUAUCAAAGCAACCACAAUAUUUUGUCAAAGGUCCUGAGAGUCUUGGUGGCGGCCCAUGGUACAAGCUGUCACCCAUGUUGCCACCCGCACAGCUCCUUCAUGCAAGUCUUCAGGUUGACAUAGGAGUGACAAAUGUUAAAGAAGCUGGUGAAGAAGUUUUACAAAUGAAAAGUCUGCUUGGUUCUACUACGGAUGAUCCAAGUGGUUCAGCUGGCAAUGAUGUGUGUGCCCCUGCCGGGAAUAAUAUGAAUGGUUCUGCCGGGACUGAUCCACAUGGUCCUGCCGGAAACUAUCCCAGUUGUUCUGUGGAGAAUGAUGUGAAGGGAUUUACUAGGAAGAGGUUCCGAGCAGAUACAGAUGAGGAUUCUACAAGAGUGUCACAAGUUGAAAAUAUUAACUCAAGCCUAAGUUUGGUGCAUGUUAAAAGUGAACCAACAGAUGUGUGUAUUAGUAGCAGCAGCAACAGUGACAACAGCCCAUGUCAGAAUGCCGUCAAACAGGAGCUUGUAUACAAAGAAGAGGUAUUUGUUGAUGACUUUGUCAGUGAAGAGGUAAAUAAACAGGAUCCACUUUCUCUUACUGACAAGAGCCAAGUGAUAGAACCUUCAACAGUCACAUCUGAGGAGACGUGGCCACACUCAGGCUCAGAAAAAUUGAAGGAAUGUCGGAAGCGCUCCAAACGUAUCUCACAGCAACCCUCUCGACUCAUUCAACCUAAGAUAUUGGCAGUUCCUCAGGUGCUCCCUGUAUCUAUUGAAGAACUUGCUAAUACCCAAGAAGCUGUGGGAGAAAAUGUUCCAGAAGUCUUUGUUGCACAACAUUUUGAUUACCAUGAUGCAAAGCUGGCAACAUCCUGGCACCUGAUAGAAGACAUGCUGCCAGCCAUAUUCUCCCACAAGGUCAUCACGUAUGAUUACAUGUCUGACAACAAUCUACCAGGGUUUAAUUUAGAAAUAGAUAGCACUGUUUCAACCAAAGAUGAUAUUGGACUGUGGCUCCAUGAGUUUAGUGAACGUACUCAAACAAAAUGGAAACUUCGAUAUUGGGCCAUGGGAAACACAUAUUCCUAUACGUAUAAGGUGAUGUAUGUAUGUGCCAGUGCUCCUAGAACUAAAAAAGAAAAGAGUAAGUUUGAUCGGAGCUGCAAAGCUUUUAUUCACAUUAAAUUGUACGAAGAGGAUAUUUUAAGGAAAGUCAAUGCCAUUUCAGUUGGAUUUUUAUCAAGAAUCAGUUUAUCAUACAUACACAACCAUCCGGUGAUGUUUAAAGAAACGUUUCAGUAUAAGAGUGUUAGAAAAGAUAUGAUUGAAAUGUUUCACGAGUACUUCGCGGAGGGUCACACAUCCGUCAGCGCUCAUCACUACCACGAGGCUAGACUGUGGCUAAGAGACUUGGCGGCCGAGUUGUUGCUCGACGACACCAUUCACCCAAAGAUAAGAACUAUUAAGUAUAUGAAAGAGCAGUGGGUGAAGAGUAACUCGGCUACUGUCUUGAAAAAUAAAAACAAUGAAACGGGUGAGGCCUUGUUUAAUGCAGCGUGUGAGAGAGUUGAAGAACUGAGUCACCAAAGGAAAGUUCAGUACUUUAUUGUUAAGAAUCCGUUUUCUGUUGCUCUAGUGACUCCCUUGAUGAAACGAGUUCACAGCCUCCAAGAAGCUUCACUGACUUUAUUUGUUAAUACUGUCAUUAAUUGUGGGAGAGAGAAGUGCAGUAUUACUUACUUUACCUGUGCCUCCGUUGCUGGAGUGUUGCCCCUUGGUGUAGUCAUUGUCAGUAACCCCACUUGCAGUGCAUUGAAAAUUGCCUUUAAAAAUUUAGUUACAACUGUCGGUGAAACUGCAUUUGGAGGCAGAGGGUCGCCAAUGGUGAUAAUUAGCGAUGGUUUUGAGCCUCAGAUGGAGGCUUUAAAGUCUUGUUUCCCGUACAGUCAAACCUUGCUAUGUGUGACCAACCUCGUCCAUUCUGUCUGGAGAUGGUUAACGGAAGAAUCAAAUGGUAUCAAAGAACAUCAUUGGGUAACUUUAAUAGGCCUUGUGAAAAAUGUUUUGUAUGCACCAACACCUGAGGUUAGUAAGCUGGCCUACAGAAUGAUGUUAGCACAUUCUGUUUCAAAACAGUAUGAAGUAUUUAACACAUACUUGGCAACAUUAUGGCACAGGAGAGGUGAAGUUGGUUUAGUCUACAAAUUGCCUAUGAAUAAUAAAGAUUUCGUUGAAUUGUCUAGAAGAAUUUUCAUCGAUGCUAUUCUAACAAGAUGUCAGGCAUUCAGCGUACUUCCUAUGAUGAGGUACGUUUGCAUAGCGCUAGAAGAGUGCUUUCAGAGCAGAGUAUCUGAGUAUAUUGAGAAUACUGCUUCUCAGUUUACAUUUUUAAAAUGUAUGGAGAAAACCAUUUUACCAGAAACCAAAAAUAUGCAGUCUUCCCACAAAGUACGUAGCACACAAGAUGAAGACGAUUGGUGUACCGUGAACUGUGAAGCAUCACUGUGUUCUUGUGUAUCUGGAAGCUUAGGGGGUUUCUGUGAGCAUCAACGAGCUGUGUGGAAACAACAGCAUUUGCAGCUUCCUGCAGCACCAGAGAUAGACUCAAGAGGUAAAGUACAGUUGGCAGAUAUAGCUUUUGGAGAAGCUGGAUAUCAAAGUUUUAAUAGAAUGGAAUAUGAUGUGACAAUAAAUGCCCUGAAAAAAAAUUUGGCAAGGAUAGAAACAAUUGCUAGCCAAAACAUUACUAAUUCAUUUAUUGGAAAAAUGAGAAAGCUGAACCAGACAUUAGAUAAAAUUACUACACUUGAUGAAUUAGGAAUGUUUUGUGAGUUGGCAGGUAUUCUGGGUAAUGUGCAGACACAUGUAAAAAUAAUGCAACCUCAAACAAAUAUAUUACAACAAGCAAAAAUAGUACAAUCACAGGCUAAUAUUGUGCAGUCUCAGCCUAGCAUAGUGCAACCCCAAAAUAAUAGUGUACAGCCACAGGCUACUAUUGUGCAAUCACAAACUGUCCAACCCCAAGCUAAUCUUGUACAACCACAAACUAGUCUUAUGCAGGCUCAAGCGAGUCUCAUGCAGCCACAGCCUAACCUGCUGCAGCCACAAACUAAUAUUCUACAGCCACAAACUAGUUUUGUUCAGUCACAAACUAGUCUUAUGCAACCACAGACAAAUGCAGGACUAAAUCCAAUUCAAUUUUUGGUUGUUCAGUCUAUUCAAAAAUGAAGUGAGAGAGAGGUGAUGCUUCUUACAGAGAGGUGAUGCUCUCUACAGAGAGGUGAUGCUCUCUACAGAGAGGUGAUGCUCUAUACAGAGAGGUGAUGCUCUCUACAGAGAGGUGAUGCUCUAUACAGAGAGGUGAUGCUCUAUACAGAGAGGUGAUGCUUCUAUAGAGAGGUGAUGGUCUCUACAGAGGUGAUGGUCUAUACAGAGAGGUGAUGCUCUCUACAGAGAGGGAUGGUCUCUACAGAGAGGUGAUGGUCUAUUGAGAGAGGUGAUGCCUCUAUAGUAGAGGUGAUGGUCUAUACAGAGAGGUGAUGCUCUCA